AGCUGGCAGCCACGCAGCACGUUGCAGGUGGAUGCCGCAUUGCACUGGGAGUAGAAAUUUAAAAUGAUUACAAACCCAUCUUCCAGGGAGGACAUGUGUAGAGUCCGGGAAACCCUGCUCCAACGUUGAGUCUGGGACUAUGGACCGUGGAGUGCCUUUGUGCUUCCUUGUACUUGUUGAACUCCUUGUGCACAAAACCAUAGCUCAGUGUGGCACCAUUUUGCCAAUCUCAUGCUUGGAGGCUCAAGGCUGAUUCAUGGGAAUUUGAGAAAUACAAGUCAAUCUGUUCCCAAUGUACUUUUAUUAAUGAAUACUCUGUUGCCAAUUGAAUUUUUUUUUUUUUUUUUUUGGACAGGCAGAGUUAGACAGUGAAAGAGAGACAGAGAAAAAGGUCUUCCUUUUUUCCAUUGGUUAACCCCCCAAGUGGCUGCUAUGGCUGGCGUGCUGCGGCCAGCAUGCUGCGCCGAUCCGAAGCCAGGAACCAGGUGCUUCCUCCUGGUCUCCUUGGGCCAUCCUCCACUGCACUCCUGGGCCACAGCAGAGAGCUGGACUGGAAGAGGAGCAACCGGGACAGAACUGGUGCCCCAACUGGGACUAGAACCCAGUGUGCCGGUGCCACAGGCAGAGGAUUAGCCAAGUAAGCCAUGGCGCCGGCGAUUUUUUAUUAUCUUUCAAAUGCCUCAAACUCCAAGUGGCCAUUGUAGUCCCAUUCCAACCUGUAUCACUCCUUCACCUACAGACUGAACCUGUGCCAGAUGCCAGGAGGAAGACAAGUGGGCCAUGCUUGGAUCGGUGCCACCGGGGCUGGGCAGUGGUUCUUCUGGGAACAGUCAGACUUUGGAACAAGCCAGAGUUUUCUGGAGAGAUACAAGGAAAAAGAAAAUGAAGCCAUGGUUAUUAUCAAAGUCUUCAUCAAGGCAAAGGGGAAAAAAUUAGUGGUACUUCUAUGCCAGGAAAGAUUUCUGCCAACCUUGGAAGUGUCUCCUGACUUACGAGUGUAAGCACAGAGCAGAUAUGAGCUUGUCUACAAGAAGAGAACUUUAUGAUCUACAGUUUGGCUUAAACAUUACCGUUGAGUCUAGCAGUAAACAAGUCAUAUCAGGCAAAGGUAAAACUCUCUAGUAACACACACCAGGGCUACCACAGCCCACGCCUCUGGUUCUGACAACAUGGCUAAGUGAAACCAGGACCAUGGUGAUUGUUUUGGCUGUAGAAUGGAGUGCUGGGAUCCCUGAUAAAGAUACCCAGAUGAUACGGAACUUCAUUGAAGUUGUGCUGAAUUUAAUGUGGCUUGAAAUUCACAGAUCCACAGGAUUUAUAGUCAUCUCAGAAAGAUUUACCACACUGGCACCAGAGCAUGAAGAGAAUUAGAAAAUGAAGCCAACUGUUGCAGGGAAUUUUAACAUGUGAAAAAGACUUGAUUCUGGCAGUCCUAGGUUUUGUCUGAAGCAAGUAUCUGAGUGGUUUCCUACCCUCCAAAGGCUUUCAUUUAAAUCAAGGAAAAUGAUCUUCUUUGGGGAGAAACUGUGUCAGAGGAGUAACAGAGAUUUAAAUGGGGGAAGAAAAUUGAUCUUGAAAAUGUAAAAGAAAAUGGAACAUAACCAGAGAAACCUGAAAAUGGUUCUUGAAUCUGUGCAAGGCAAGCAGUUGAAAGGAUCUAGGAUCAGGCUGAUCUGGGAGCUUGAAGAUUGCAGAAAAGGAGAGGGGGCAACAGAAACAGGCAUAUAAAGAGCAAAGAAGGGAUCCAGGUCCCGUCUGUCACUUGCUUAUCCAGCUCUGCUUAGAUAGCGCCCGGUAUGGCCACUACUUUCACUCCAUAAGCAGUAUGAUUCCACCAUCCAGAAAUCCAUUAAUAUUAAUCAUCUAAAAUAAUCCACAGGAAUGGAAUAGCAAAAUAGUCAAGGAAAUACAAUAGAGAAAAUAUCAGAUGAUUCCAUUCGGAAUUAUGAAAAAACUCACAAUGUGUCCUCAUGCAAGUGUCACACGUUGCUCAAGGUACUAUGUGGUUUUGCAUUAAGAAAAAGUAAACAGCCUGACCUUGUGGUAAGGGAGAAGAGAACUAGGACCACAUGGGAAAAUUCAGGUGGCCUAGAUGGGCUCAGCCAUUGCUAAGAUAACAAUCAGGAUUAUGAGCCAUUUAUUGAUUGCUUGCUCAUGAUUGUUAUUAACUACAUGUUUGACUAGAAUGUACUGAUAAACUGAAUCCUUUAAAUUAUAUUUUAUACUUUUUUCCUUUGGAUUAGAUAUUUACCAAAACACAUAAGACUUGAACUUCUGGAGGGCUCACAAUUUUUUGUUAAAAAAACAAAACAAAAACUUACAUGACUGACCACUUGACUCAUACGUCUUCAUUUAUCAGACAUUUAUUGAGCUGCUACUGUGAGCCAGGCAUUUCUGGCAUACAUGGGACACAGCCAUGAGUAACAUCCUUGUGCUUACGUUCUAAUGAAGAAAGGCAGGUGAAUUCGGUUCUUAGGGCUACUGCUACCAAUGACCACAAACUGGGUGAUUUAAAACAAUGGAAAUAUUGUUCUGGAGACCAAAUGUCCAAAGAGUUCUUGAGGGAAGAAGUUCAAAAUCAAGGUGUUCCCAGAAGGGCUCUCCCUCUGGAGAGUGCAGAGGAGAAGCUGCUUUUUGGCCUCUUCGGCUUCCGGUAGCUGUCAGCAUUCCUUGCCUGUGGGCACACAUUCCAACCUCCAUGUCGUGGGUACGCUGUUGCCUCCUCUUCUGCCUGUGUUGUCUCCCUUUGCCCCUCUUAUAAGGACACUUGUGACAGCAAGUGUCUAUCCAGAUCAUACCCAGUUUCAUCACAUCAUCCUCAUCAUAAUCACAUCUGUUUCCAUCUGAGUAAUAGUCUCUCCACCCCCGACAGACACACACAUACAUACAGCAGUGUUCACAGGUUUCCUUGAUUAGGACGCGAACAUGCCUUUGGAGGCCACCAUCUAACCUCUCUGUACAAUAUGCAGUAAGUACACAAACAGGUGGAGAUUACUACCAGAGCCAUGAGUAAACAAAGCAGGGAGAAGUGACAAGAGUGACAUGGAUACUGCUUUCACUAAAGGGGCUAGACAGGGCCUCUGUAAGACUUACUUGAAGUAGAUGAAGGAAAAGUCCUGCAGGCAGGGAUAAGAGCAAGUGCAAAGACUCUAGAGCUAGUUGUAUUUGAAGAGGAGAGAGCAGAGAAGAGAGCAGCGUCGUCAGACCUGUGGGGUGGGGCUGGCAUUUAAUGCAGCUGUUAAGAUGACACUAAGGACACCCACAUCCCCUUUCAGUGUUCCUGGAUUCAAGUCCUGGCUCUGCUUUGGAUUCCAGCUUCCUGCUAAUGUGAACCCUGGGAGGAAGCGAGUGAUGGCUCAAAUACUUGGGUCCCUGCCACCCAUGUGGGAGACCUGAAUUGAAUUCCUAGUUCCAGGCUUUGGCCUGGCCAAAUCCCUGCAGUUGAUUUGGGGAGUGAACCAGCUGAUAGAAGAUCUCUGUCUCUGUCAUGCUGCCUUUCAAAUAAAAAUAAAUAAAUAUUAGUGGACA
ensembl:lncRNA